CCCACCACUUUCAUCGAGUGUAGGCAUUCGUCUUCUGGUUACGGGGCCAUAGCUCAGCUGGGAGAGCGCGUGCUUUGCAAGCAUGAGGUCGUCGGUUCGAUCCCGUCUGGCUCCACCAGAUGGUUUGAUUGCCGGCGCAGCUUGCACCUAGGUCUCGCACCUAAAUCGUCCGCGAAACAUCACUUCGCACCCACCAGUCCGGAUGGACGGUGAGGUUGCGUGAUUUCUGACAUCGUAAAGAGGAGAUCGAUCCGAGUUGGAUCGUGCAGCAAAUCGUUGCGCGAGCCUUCAUUAUCUCCGGAUCAUUUCGGCGCUCGCUUUCAACCGUGAGGUUGGCGGUGAGUUGCAAAUGAUCCUUUUAGCGAAGCUUGACCGCCUCGCUAUCGGAACGAUCUUACGAAGCAAGCUGGUCUUUCUAGUCAAUGUCCGGCUGCGACAAUCGCGUUCAUCGAGGACGCGUGCCUUCAAUGGCAGUUGCGCAGACAACAUUCUGCCGAGUGUGUGGACAUUGAUAAUGAGAGC
rnacentral:tRNA from 1 species